rnacentral:rRNA from 1 species
UGAUCUGGUAGUAUGCCACCCGGUGGAUGGCUCGGCUCGGGCGCCGACGAAGGGCGUGGCAAGCUGCGAUAAGCCUCGGCGAGGCGCACGCAGCCGUAGAACCGAGGAUGCCCGAAUGGGAAUCCUGAUGCCGCUGAAACGGCAUCGAUCCCUUUCGGGAUCGGGAACGCGGGGAAGUGAAACAUCUCAGUACCCGCAGGAAAAGAAAUCAAUCGAGAUGCCGUGAGUACCGGCGAGGGAAAACGGCAGAGUCCAAACCGAACCCUCUGAGGAAACUCAGAGGGGAUGUGGAGUUGCAGGUGCCCUCCGGAAGCACCCGAGGGGUGAAGCCGAAGUUCCCUGGAACGGGACGCCGUAGAGGGUGAUAGCCCCGUAAGCGUAAGCCCUAGGGUGUGGAGGGUUACCUGAGUACCGUGGGUUGGAAUUCCCGCGGGAAGCUGGGGGUCACCAACCUCCAAGACUAAAUACGUCCCGAGUCCGAUAGCGCACUAGUACCGUGAGGGAAAGCUGAAAAGCACCCCAGGACGGGAGGUGAAAAGAGCCUGAAACCGGGUGGCGAUAGUAAGCUAGGGCACGAAAGGGUCGAAGCGCCCCGAAGGAAUCCGUCGCGAGGCGGUAGUACGAGGGGCGUGGACCAGUGUCCUAGCGUACGUUUUGAAGAACGGGCCAGGGAGUGUGCUCCAUUGGCGAGGCUAAGGGGAUAAACCCCCGGAGCCGUAGCGAAAGCGACACGUCCGCAGCCGCUUUUGCGGUGAGGGGCGGCGUGUUAAAGCGCGUGGAGUCAAUGGAGCACGACCCGAAGCCGGGCGAUCUAGGCGCGGGCAGGGUGAAGCGGUGCGAAAGCGCCGUGGAGGCCCGAAGGGGUGCUGAUGUUCAAAUCGCUCCCAUGACCCGCGUCUAGGGGUGAAAGUCCAAUCGAGCCCGGGGAUAGCUGGUUCCCCCCGAAACAUGCCGCAGCAUGACCUGGCCGGAGGUAGUCGGCGGGGUAGAGCUACUGAUUGGGGAGUUAAGGGAGGGAACUCCCGGCUCCCCUGUCAAACUCCAAACCCGCCGUCGCCGUAGAUGGCCGGAAGUCCGGGCUACGGGGUAAGCUUGUAGUCCGAGAGGGAGACAACCCAGACCGGGGUUAAGGCCCCUAAGUGCCGGCUAAGUGUUAACGCUGAAGGGUGUCCCAGGCCUAAGACAGCUGGGAGGUGGGCUUAGAAGCAGCCAUCCUCUAAGGAGUGCGUAACAGCUCACCAGCCGAGGUCUGGGGCCCCGAAAAUGGACGGGGCUAAGCCGGCCGCCGAGACCCCGGGGCAGGGCAAUAAGCCCUGAUCCGGUAGGGGGGCGUCCCGGUUGGGCAGAAGCAGGGUCGUGAGAUCCUGUGGACCAGCCGGGAACGAGAAUCCUGGCAGUAGUAGCAGCAUAGCCGGGUGAGAAUCCCGGCCGCCGAAGGGGCUAGGUUUCCUCGGCCAUGUUCGUCAGCCGAGGGUUAGCCGGUCCUAAGGUGGCUCGUAACUCGACGCCACCGAAAGGGAAGCCGGUUAAUAUUCCGGCGCCGCCUGGUCUUAAACCGCGGAAGCGGGCCCGACGCUUCGGGGUAGGCCGAGCAGCGCUGCCGCGCUGUCUAAGCGUAUAAGCCCGGGGAGUGCCGUAAUGGCGAGAACUGGGUGAAAGCGUGAUGGGCCCCAUUAGGGGUUCGGCCGAGCCCUGGAGCCCGUGAAAAGGGCGACCAGGCGACCGUACCGAGAACCGACACAGGUGCCCCUGGGUGAGAAGCCCAAGGCGUGUCGGGUUAACCCAGCCGAGGGAAAUCGGCAAAUUGGCCCCGUAUCUUCGGUAGAAGGGGUGCCUGCUCUUUACGGAGCAGGUCGCAGUGACUAGAGGGGAGCGACUGUCUAAUAACAACAUAGGGGGCUGCAACCCCGAAAGGGUUAGUACAGCCCCUGAGUCCUGCCCAGUGCGGGUACCUGAAAGCCCGGUUCAACGGGAAGAAGGGCCCGUAAACGGCGGGGGUAACUAUGACCCUCUUAAGGUAGCGUAGUACCUUGCCGCUUAAUUGGCGGCUUGCAUGAAUGGGUUAACGACUCCCCUACUGUCCCCGGCUGGGACCCGGUGAACCUUACAUCCCAGUGCAGAGUCUGGGGACCCCCAGGGGGAAGCGAAGACCCCGUGGAGCUUUACUGCAGCCUGCCGCUGGUCUGUGGAGCGGGAUGUGCAGGAUAGGUGGGAGGCGUCGAAGCUCGGGCGCUAGCUCGGGUGGAGCCGUCCUUGAGAUACCACCCUUCCCGCUCUGCGGGCCUAACUUCGAGAGGAGGACAACGGUAGGUGGGCAGUUUGGGUGGGGCGCCACGCCCUCGAAAAGAUAUCAAGGGCGCCCAAAGGUCGGCUCAGGCGGGUCAGAAAUCCGCCGUAGAGUGCAAGGGCAAAAGCCGGCCUGACGUGAUUCCGCAUAGUGAGGAAUCACGAGCCGAAAGGCGGGCCUAGCGAACCAUCCUGGCCUUUUGGUGAGGCCGGAUGACGACAGAAAAGCUACCCCGGGGAUAACAGAGUUGUCGCCGGCGAGAGUUCAUAUCGACCCGGCGGCUUGCUACCUCGAUGUCGGCUCUCUCCAUCCUGGCGGUGCAGCAGCCGCCAAGGGUGGGGGUGUUCACCCAUUAAAGGGGAUCGUGAGCUGGGUUUAGACCGUCGUGAGACAGGUCGGUUGCUAUCUACUGGGGGUGUCUGGGCGGCUGAGGGGAAGGAGGCUUUAGUACGAGAGGAACAAGCCUCCGGCGCCUCUGGUCGACCGGUUGUCCGGCAGGGCACUGCCGGGCAGCUACGCGCCAGUGGAUAAGGGCUGAAAGCAUCUAAGCCCGAAACCACCCCCGAAAAGAGCCGCCCGUAUAAGGGCGCCGCUAAAAGAGCGGUUUGAUAGGGCCGGGGUGUAAGCGGCGAGCCUUCGGGCGAGCCGUUCAGCCCGCGGCUACUAAAGCCCGAGCUGGAUUACU